UCAGAACGAACGCUGGCGGCGUGCUUAACACAUGCAAGUCGAACGCGAAAGGGACUUCGGUCCUGAGUAAAGUGGCGCACGGGUGAGUAACGCGUAGAUAACCUGUCUUCAUGUCUGGAAUAAUACGCCGAAAGGGGUACUAAUACCGGAUAUUCUUGCUUUUCAUAAGUUAUGCAAGCAAAGGUGGCCUCUGCAUAUGCUACUGCAUGAAGAGGGGUCUGCGUACCAUUAGCUAGUAGGUGGGGUAAUGGCCUACCUAGGCGACGAUGGUUAGCGGGUCUGAGAGGAUGAUCCGCCACACUGGCACUGGAACACGGGCCAGACUCCUACGGGAGGCAGCAGUGAGGAAUAUUGCGCAAUGGGGGAAACCCUGACGCAGCGACGCCGCGUGAAGUGAGGAAGGCCUUCGGGUCGUAAAGCUCUGUCAAGAGGAAAGAAGUGUACAAUGGCUAAUACCUGUUGUAUUUGACGGUACCUCUAAAGGAAGCACCGGCUAACUCCGUGCCAGCCGCAGC
rnacentral:rRNA from 1 species